rnacentral:lncRNA from 1 species
CGUGCCCGCGAUCGAACGGCCCAGAUUCGUUCCCCCGCAAACGGACAGCCCAAAUGCGUUCCCUCCGCAAACGUGAUCGAACGGUCCAGGUUAUAUCGCGAUGGAUAGUUCAGAUUAGAUCACGAUGAACGGCCCAGACUCACUCCCUAUUUAAUCACGAUCGGACGGUUUACAUCAAACGCGAUGGACGACCUAGAUCAAGUAGAU